AGGUUGGGUGAGAACGACACGUGUUGCACCAUUAUCAAGCAGUUGAUAAUGGCGUUGGGUUGCUGUUGGGUGUUGUAUCGUUGAUGCCGAGCACGAGAGAGAUAGGGCGAUAGAAAUAAAUCGAGCGAGCGUCUCCGACACGGCAACAUUUGCAUUCUUCGUGUUCGUGGUAUUUCCAGUAUUCAAUCACGGUAAACUAUGCCGUCGUGCUGCGCUACACACUACAACUGAUGCUGCUCCGAGCUACUACACCGAAGUAUUAUUCUUCCUCGAGCUACGCUACAAAAGCGCAUGGGUGCUACACCAGCGAGUCUCCCGAGUACUACUCUGCUCCCAGCUACUAAACUGAGCCAAAAGUAACGGACUGAAGGUGCUAAAAGUUUUUGCUGAGGACGGUAGCAGGUCGAGUCCUCCCUAAAUACUUGAGCGAAUGGACAACCGAGAAGUUGAAUGCGGAAAGUGUUAAUGUGUUGCCCAAAGCUAAUGUUGAGGGUGCAAGCUUGGAAGACAACAAGGUCCCAUUGACCUUAAAACAAUGGUCGAAAGGUUUAAACUGACCAUGUUGCCGUUGCUGUCGGUUUGAACGCAAACACGGAUUUGGCUGUCGCUUUUGGUUUGGAAAUUGAUUCGAAUUUUGGUAGUUGUCGAGUCAAUGCCGAGUUUGAAGCAGAUCAAACGUCUGGUUGCCAAAGAUGCUGCCUGCUUUUAUGAUAUCAAAUUGGAUCGUCGUCGUGUGGAACAUCAUGACCACGCUGUUGUAUCAGAGCGAUUGGCUAGAGAGCAUAUGAUUGGCAAUGCAUGCAUGCAACAUGGGUGAAGGACUGCAGCGCAAUAUUUGUCACUAUCUGCAUUCUUCGUCGUAUUUUCAUUAACUAUGGCGUCUUGCUGCUGUAUGUUGUAUCGUUGAUGGCUGGGUCAGCCAUUGG
rnacentral:misc_RNA from 1 species